AGAGGGUGAGGUCUUUUGCAAUUUCCCGUCUUGCUGCGCACUCUUGGCAGUCCUGGGAUUCGCAGGAAUUCGCCUCCCGUUGGUCCCCAGAGGAAGCGGAUGGGACCCUGCGGGAGGCGGACGAGACCUUGCGGAGGUGCGGCCCCCGGAGUUGGCGGACGGGCGGGGACCGUUCUAUGAUGGACUAUCGAAAACCAUAUCGACUUUGGAGCUGGUGUGGAAACCAUCCUAACACUGCCAAUUCUGUGGCAGCCUCGGACCCAGAGAGGAGAGCAGUGGGGCCGCCGUGUCUGGAGGACUCGCAGGGAUGCUGACAGCGCUGCAGGCUUCUUCGUUGGGUCAGCUAAGCCUGGUCUAGUUCCGGUUUGGGAACCCUGGAAAAAACGAUUCAGAGGAGUGUCUCUUAGAGCAGAUGAGAUGCCAAAUGAAAAUACUGAGUAUGAAGAAUUUCUACAAAGUGAAGGGAAAUUUGGACACAGACCCCCAGGAGGAACGCCAUGUGACUACUGAGGCAGAGAUUGGAGUUAUUCUGCCUCAAACCAAGGAAUGCCAAGGAUUGCUGGCAACCAGCAGAAGCUAGGAGAAUGGUACAGAACAGAAUGCCCCUCUGAACCCGUAAGAAGAAACUCAUCCUACCAACACCUUGAUUUCAGAUUUCUGGGCUCCAGAACCGUGAGAGAAUAGAUUUCUGUUGUUGUAAGCCACUAAGUUUGUGGUAAUUUGUUACAGCAGCUGUAGCAAACUGAUACAUAGGUAUGUGAUACAUAUUCUCAAGGUUAGUUUUUAAAAUUAGCCUGAAAAUAGCUAAAAUGAAAAAGAAGAAAAAUAUCAGCAAUUUAUUAAGCUAAGAACUGAAAUACCCUUCCUUGCUUAGCAUUGAUGAGAUUAUGUUGGAAAAAUAAGUAUUGAUUCUGCUCCAUUUGACACUCCUCCCUAAUGUUCUCUCUUCCUUUCGAUUUCAGUAGCACAACUUUCUUUCCUUUUCCUCCAUUUUCCUGACUUUCUUCCCUGUCACCUUCUUGGGCUUCUUGUUCUCCACUUGUCCCUCAGAUGUUGGUGUGUCCAUUCAGUGAAAUACAGAAUCAGGGCUCCAUCCUUGACAUUCUUCUCUGAAUCCACACAGUCUCUCAAACGAUCACAUCCCUGCUCUUGAUUUCAAUGAUCUCUUGUGCACGGAUGACCCUCAAAUCUUCCUUCCCAUUGCAAUUAUUUCAUCUGAACUGCAGACCGACUUAUUUGUACAUCAAAGUCGAUAUGUCGAAGUUCAAACUCUUCACUUUUCCCCAUGUGAUUUUCUUACAUUAAGUGAAUGACCCAUUCUUUAAUUUAGAUACCAAAUCAAAAAACCUACGAAUGAUUCUUGAUCCACCCUCCCUCAUCUUCCAUCUUGUACCAGAAAGUCUCAUAUAUGUAACUAUUAUAGAGGAGGCAUGAGUAGAAUGUACCCCUACCCUCUCCAACUUCUCAGAAGUUCUAUAACUGUCAGGAACAUUAUAUGGUUAUAGAUGUAGAUAUAGGUAUAGGAAUAGGUAUAGAUAUAGAUAUAUGAAGUCAGCUGUGUAAAUUGUGAAAUAUGAUUAUUUUUGUUCAACUAAUCAACUAUUUUUGUUCAACUGUAAAUACCUAUAAUUACAUGUUUGGCACUAUUUGGUAACCAAACUGAUAGAGUCUGAAGAAAUUGGGAGUUUUCUGAAGAAAGUGGCUUCAUCAAGUAAGUAGUGGGUGAUGAUUUACAAUCACCCUCAUGGAUAAGAAUUCUCCGUUUUUUUUUGGCAUAUUAUCACAUUUGACAUUUUAAAGAUUCACUUUUAGGUCUUAAAGCAUGCUGCUGUGAUUAUGAUUGAUGAUACUGGUAUUAUUGCUAAGAAAACUUAAUGGAAAUUAAAAUGUUAUUUUGUAAAUGUAUUCCGGUAUUGUGAAAAACUGGGCCUUCUGAAAAAUUUUUUAUCUAAAAUAUAUCAUAAAGCUUGAUUAGUUGAGACAUCUAUCACUUCCAAAUAUAUAUAUUAAAAAAGGGGGAGCCACCAAUGACAAAGCAAGAUGUUGAGUGUUAGAGGGCCACAUGGAACAUUCACAUUUUAUAAUUUCAAGAGAUUCCCUAUAAUUACUUAGUUAUGAAUUGCUUUCCUUUCAAUAUCUGUUAAGUGAAUUUAAGUGAAGGAUCACAUCAUCCUUAAUAGUUCUAAAGGAGUUUCUUACUUGAACGAGAUCUUACUUGAAGAUUGACUGAUUGAUUUUGCACAUUUCGGCUUCUCCUGGAUAUUGUAACUGUAUUCACAUCUUGUUCCAGAAAUCAUUAGAAACCAGACAAUGGGGAGAACUUUUUGAAUCUUUUACUGUUUUCCCUGCAUGGGCUGUAGGAAGAAUGUUGAAUAUGUGUUUGUUUAGUUAGCUGCUUUUAUUUUCUUGGCCUGUGGUUAUGGGAAUUCAUAAAUAUGAGUGUACGAGUUAAUGCUAAAGAAUAGAACAUUAUACAGUGAGGGGGAAGUACUUUGGGGAAGAAUUAGAUGGGAACUUUAGAGACUUCGGAAAACUAUUUGCUAAGCUUUAUCUAAAAUAGAUCUAUAGUCGUAUUUAUACUUAGACAACAUCUCUUAACAGACAGCAUGUAGUUGGGACUUUUUGAAAAGUCCAUUCUGACAGGCUCCGCAUUUUAACUUGCUAGGGAGUGUUUAGCACACUUUCAUUUAAGGCAAUUAUUGAUUUGAUUCAGUUUAAUCUACCAUUUUACCAUAUUUUACCAUAUUUUAUCUGUUUUGUUCCCUCUUCUAGUUCUCCUUUUUGCCUUCUUUUACAUUAUAUGAAUAUUUUUCAGAAUUUAAUUUUAAUUUGCCUUUUGUUUUUUUGUUAUUCCUCUUCGCAGGAUUUUUUGGUGUUUGCUCUUUGGAUUGCAAUAUAUAUCCUUAAUUUUUACUGUUUCCUUGAUAAUAUUGUACCAUUUCACCUAAUAGUUCCAUUUAACUACACCUCCUGUCCUUCACAUCAUAGUUGUAAAAUGUGUUACAUCUAUGACAAGAUAAAACCAGCAAUGUGAUAUGUAUUUUUUAAAAAUAAAAAUGUUCUUCAAUCCUUCCCAAAGAUCUAAGUUUUCAUCUGAUCUCAUUUCCCUAAGCCUGAAGAAUUUCUCUUAGCACUGUCUUUUUUUUUUUUUUGUGAGGAAGAUCAGCCCUGAGCUAACAUCCACGCCAAUCCUCCUCUUUUUUGCUGAAGAAGACCGGCCCUGAGCUAACAUCUAUUGCCAAUCCUCCUCCUUUUUCUCCCCAAAGCCCCUGGUAGAUAGUUGUAUGUCGUAGUUGCACAUCCUUCUAGUUGCUG